UACGUAGGUGGCGAGCGUUGUCCGGAUUUAUUGGGCGUAAAGCGCGCGCAGGUGGUCCGUUAAGUCCUGUGUGAAAUCUCCCGGCUCACCCGGGAGGGGGCGCGGGAUACUGGGGGACUGGAGGCAGGCAGAGGCCGGUGGAAUUCCCGGUGUAGUGGUGAAAUGCGUAGAGAUCGGGAGGAACACCAGUGGCGAAAGCGGCCGGCUGGGCCUGGUUCUGACACUGAGGCGCGAAAGCGUGGGGAGCGA
rnacentral:rRNA from 1 species